GACCAUUCUUUUAAUCGAGAUUUUGCCGUUCGGGUACAAUUGAGACAGGUGGUGCAUGGUUGUCGUCAGCUCGUGUCGUGAGAUGGUUGGGUUAACGUCCCGCAACGAGCGCAACCCGUUGUGUUUAGUUGCAAACAGGUCAAGCUGUGCACUCUAGACAGACUGCCGUGGACAACACGGAGGAAGGUGGGGAUGACGUCAAAUCAUCAUGCCCCUUAUGAUCUGGGCUACACACGUGCUACAAUGGCCGGUACAACGGGCAGCGAAGGAGCGAUCCGGAGCGAAUCCUAAAAAGCCGGUCCCAGUUCGGAUUGCAGGCUGAAACUCGCCUACAUGAAGUUGGAGUUGCUAGUAAUCGCGAAUCAGAAUGUCGCGGUGAAUGCGUUCCCGGGUCUU
rnacentral:rRNA from 1 species